UACGUAGGGACCAAGCGUUGUUCGGAUUUACUGGGCGUAAAGGGCGCGUAGGCGGCGUGGUAAGUCACUUGUGAAAUCUCUGAGCUUAACUCAGAACGGCCAAGUGAUACUGCUGUGCUAGAGUGCAGAAGGGGCAAUCGGAAUUCCUGGUGUAGCGGUGAAAUGCGCAGAUAUCAGGAGGAACACCGGUGGCGAAGGCGGUUCUCUGGGCAUUACCUGACGCUGAGGAGCGAAAGCAUGGGGAGCAAACAGG
rnacentral:rRNA from 1 species